CGCCAUCCCUUAUUACAAUUAAUUUGUCUGUGUCUCUCGAUUUAUUACCCCUUUCUCCCGACUUCUUUCUCCUCCUCAAGUUAUUACCCACUAAGGAGAUCCUUUAUGUAACAGUUGCUGGUCGGCCGUUGCAUGUAUUCUGGGGCAUAGAAUCAGGGCAGAAGGAUUACUAUCACUUGCCUUGAAGAGAAUGUCCAGCUUAGGAGAAGAUGGCACCAAAGGACUCUAUUAUUCUUUCCUAGAGGAUAUCUGCUGCUGAAAAUGGAAGAUCUUGGUGGAUCCUUCUAAUGUGGGAUCUUGGUGACUGCUGCAAAGAAACUCUUAUUCCAGAAUUAGACAGCAAUGGAAAAGACAAGGCAAUCGGAACUCAGAAUUGUCUUUAUGGGGAAUACAGGGGCUAGGAGAAGUGAAAAAGGAAACAUUCUUCUGGACUGGACAGAGUUUCAAGCCUAAUUUUCAGCAGGAAGGAACAAGGUCACUCCCAAUCACCUUAGCUUCUGACUACUGAGUCUUUCCCAAGCUUCUAUGAACCCAGAAGAACCUGUCUGAAGUGUCACUGUUUCCUUCAAAAGGUUGCCAAUACACAUACUUCCACAGACAGUAGUAACAUACAGAAAUGUUGAGUUACUCAUAAUAAAAUUAGGAAAUGAUUUUUGUGCAUUUGGGUGAUCAAAGUUAAAAGAGAAGCAAGAUUCUGGGAAAGAGGAAAUGAGCCCCUUCUUUUCAAGCCUGGACGUCUCUGAGUCCUCUUAACCACCCUCAAAUCUGGCCUGCCCACUCCUACAAGUCUUGCUCUUUCCUAGAAGCCUGGAAGUUUGGACCUUUCUUGACUUCUUGCUGCAAGAAGCCUGACAGCUGGGCGUGGCUGGUCCAGUGGAGUUCCGAAGCUCCACCCUCCAUACGCACCCCCUGGCCUAGAGGGACUCAUCUCAGACAUUCAUGAGUCCAGAAUCUGGAUGCAAAGACUCACAUUGUUUAGAACCCCCAAACAUUGUGGGGUCUUUGGGGAGCGGCCUGAGGUCUAGAAGGGCAGAAACAUCCUGGCUGCCCUAAUCUUCAUUGUUGAGCUAUUUGCUAUAGAAAUGUGGUUUUACUAAAGCCCAGAGUUUGGGGCUCAUUCAUCUUUUUUUUUUUUCACUUCAUCCUUUCAAGAGCCACACUCAAAACUCCUUAGAGCUUUCCUCUCCUUUUCACCCACUGCCCUUACAGUGACUAUUUGUCUGAGCCACUCUCAUUGUCUGGACAACUGCUGGAGUGGUCCAAAUCUCCAGCUCAAACUUCUCCAAGCAGCCCACCAGGGUCUAUGUCAGAGGAGGCCCAGAGCUAACACCUGUUCUCUCUCUCCUGGGCUGUACCAGAAGGUGGGAUCUAAUUGGUCCUGCUAAAUGGCCAGUCAGAGACAGUGAGGGAAGAGUGUGAGGGGAGAGAGUGAUGGUUCAUAGAGGUCCAGUUCACCCAACCUAUCUCUUUUAAGAAUUUACCCCCUUCUUCAAAAAUGUAGCAGAGCCAGGAUUAGAAGGCUGGUCUCCUGACUCCAAAGACAAUGUUCUAGCUUACUAUAAAUAUAGGUGAUUAAGAGGAGCUUGUUGAAUGAUGACCUGCCAGGUCACCAUGGACCAAAUGAGUAUUCAGUAAUAAUGAUAGCAGCUAGAAGUUAUGUCACAUUUUAAGAUCUGCUGUUAAGGUCCAGGAUUUCACCCACCACCAUGGAGGUCCACGAACAAUGCAAACUGGCAGAGAAAGGCCAUUUAUUGAACUGACACGCGCAUCAGUGGGAACCUCUAUCAUCAGAGUUCCGAGUUGCUUC